AAAACAUGUCACUUCCUGUUGCCAGCAGGUGGCGCUAUAGCGAUAUCUGAAUAUUGGCAUGUAGAUAUAUUCAGGUCAGGAGUCUUCUCAAACAUGUGAAGUUUGGGGCAGAUUGGACAUUGUAUGUCUGAGUUAUAGCAACUUCCUUUCUCAUGGCAAAACAUCGAAAUUUGUAAGGCCGCCACAGACACGCCCUUCAACGAAACCUCAAGAUCUUCGCAAUUUAACAUCGCAAAGGCCUUUAGAUUACACAGACAAAGUUUGGUGUUGAUCUGAAUAAAUCUCUAGGAGGAGUUCGUUAAAGUACAACCC
ensembl:lncRNA